CCUACGGGAGGCAGCAGUGGGGAAUAUUGGGCAAUGGGCGCAAGCCUGACCCAGCAACGCCGCGUGAAGGAAGAAGGCUUUCGGGUUGUAAACUUCUUUUGACAGGGAAGAGUAGAAGACGGUACCUGUCGAAUAAGCCACGGCUAACUACGUGACAGCAGCCGCGGUAAUACGUAGGUGGCAAGCGUUGUCCGGAUUUCCUGGGUGUAAAGGGCGUGUAGCCGGGUUGACAAGUCAGAUGUGAAAUCCUGCGGCUUAACCGCAGAACUGCAUUUGAAACUGUUGAUCUUGAGUACUGGAGAGGCAGACGGAAUUCCUAGUGUAGCGGUGAAAUGCGUAGAGAUGAGGAGGAACACCAGUGGCGAAGGCAGUCUGCUGGACAGCAACUGACGGUGAGGCGCGAAAGCGUGGGGAGCAAACAGGAUUAGAUACCCCAGUAGUC
rnacentral:rRNA from 1 species